rnacentral:rRNA from 1 species
AUGGCGCUGACGCUGACGCUAACGCUCGCAAGGUGGCUUUGCAGGCAAUUUCUAAAAAUACUUUUUUUUGUUGAGCUCAUAACCCGGUUUGGGCCGAUUGACUCUGAGAGCGAUCGAGGGGUCGCGGGCUCACACCUUGCUUUUGCACAUAGGAUCAAAGAGAUCCUAGAAUUUAAUGGAAAGAGCAGCGGCUCUCUAAAAGACCUCAUUGAUCUUAAAUUGGAUUUGGAAGACGCCUCUAAAAGAGAAGAGAUUCUACUUCCAUAUUUUUGCUCAAAAAAAGAGGUAAAGUCCUAG